AUUGAACGCUGGCGGCAGGCCUAACACAUGCAAGUCGAGCGGAGCGGCGGACGGGUGAGUAAUGCCUAGGAAUCUGCAUGGUAGUGGGGGAUAACGUCCGGAAACGGGCGCUAAUACCGCAUACUAUCAGAUGAGCCUAGGUGGGAUUGGCUGUGUGGUGGGGUAAAGGCCUACCAAGGCGACGAUCCGUAACUGGUCUGCGAGGAUGAUAAGUAACACGGGAACGGAGACACUGUCCAGACUCCUACGGGAGGCAGCGGUGGGGAAGCUUGGACAAUGGGCGAAAGCCUGAUCCAGCCAUGCCGCGUGUGUGAAGAAGGUCUUCGGAUUGUAAAGCACUUUAAGUUGGGAGGCGUUACCAACAGAAUAAGCACCGGCUAACUUCGUGCCAGCAGCCGCGGUAAUUC
rnacentral:rRNA from 1 species